UUUUUUUUUUGAUAAGGAAGAUUCCCCCUGAGCUAACGUCUGUGCCAAGCUUCCUCUAUUUUGUGUGGGUUGCCAUCGCAGCAUGGCUGCUGACAAAUGAUGUAGGUCCACACCAGGGAACCAAAUUCAGGCCACCAAAGUGGGAGCAGUCCAAACUUAACUACUAGGCCACAGGGCUGGCCCCCCUUAGGGUACUAUUUUUAAAGCAGAUCUCAUGGGACAUUAAAAACAUGAUUUAGGAAUAUUGCAGUGAGCAUUUAUUCUUAUUUGAUGCCCAUCACUAGUUUAUAAAAUUCUCUUGGAAAAGUUUUGUUAAUACUAAAAUGCCUUCUGCUGUUGGAGAACAUAACAUGUUGCAAAUGGUUUUUUAAAAUAAAUUCGCUGUUAUUUCCAAGACCAGAAUCAGAUGUUCAGGAAUAACUGUAAGUGAAUACCUCGGGGGUUUUGUUUGUUUGUUUUGGUCGUGUGUUAAGAGUGAGUGGGUUAACAGCUCUAACCAGAAAGGUUUGAUUUUAGGGAGUUAAGAACAACCUACUGAAUUUGGAAAAAGCAAAAUGAAAGAGUUUGUAUAGACCAUGUGCCUAAAUCGUGAAGUACUACUUCUAGAAACAGAUUCUCGUAGUUACCAUUUAAAAAUUCUGUGAUGUUUGUAAAUCACCUUUAUUCUACCACCUUAGUGAAGUCACAAGUCUUUAUCCAUGUCAUGCCUAAGGUUUUACCUGAAUCUGAUACAGGACAUUUAAGGCAGGGUCUUUUUACUGUUGACUCCAGGCUUUUCAAGCAUAUAGACGGCUGUUUUUGGUCUAUGGCCUCUGGAUUUCUAAGAACUGCUAUAUGGUCAUUCACAAUACAUACAUGUAAUGUUCAGGAAGGCAGAAGGAAAGCCCAGCUUGUAAACAGCAGCACAGGCAGUGCUUAGUCUCCGUUGUUAGAGACAUUAUGUAAGGGUAGUAAUUCGCUAACCACUAUCUUUCUAAUUAAGCAGGAUUGACCAAGUAAACACUAAUCCCAGUGAAGUUUGGCUAUCUUGGGGCAGAGGUUUACUGCCACCUAGUGGAAUAAGAUCUAAUUGUUUUUUUAAAUCAAGUUCACAAGUAAUGGGAAGUUGAUUGGACAUAUGGCUUAUUUCUAUGUAGCUCAGGUUGUGAUCUUGAAAGCUGGAUACAGACUCCUGCCUCUUGGAGUCAUUGGCUUGUUGUCACACUACCACCUGCACAUUCUGACUCCCCACACCUUUCAUGCCUUUUAACCUCUUGGAGAAACUGACCCGGGAAUGUGGAGGUGAGCAAAAAGAAAGAGGAAAGCGGGUAAGGUGGCCAGAUAAUGCAGCAAGAGCAAGUGUUGACUUAGUAAGCAUCUAGAUCACCACCUCCAAACCUGAUCCUGUUUCCUUAUGAAAAUGUUUUCAAGUAUGUAUCCAUAAUUGUAUAGUAAAUUGUAUGAAUGUGCUGCUAUGUUAAUGUGAACAUUAUGAAACAAAAUUUUGAAGAGUGGAAAAAAAGUUUGGCACUCUUCUCAAGCCCCAGUAAAUUGUCCGGCACACUUCGGAAGUCAUUGAUCUAAGUUUGUAGAUCAUUAAUAUUCAAUUAUUGCUGAAUCCCCAACAAAAUCUUAGUGAAAACUGUUGUGGUAUCCUACUUGAUGUGAGAGGAAAAAUUAUUGUCCGCCACUCCAGUAAAUUGAAAUCCUUUCUAAUAAAAAGCUUGCAAAUGUAAACACAAGUUCAUGUACUUCCUUCAGGAUAUUUUCCCUGCCCCUUUAGUCAUAAUAAUGACUAUUAUAUAUUGAACAUUUGCUCUGUUCCAGACAGUAAACUACAUAGUUUAUGUACAGUAUCUUCAUAUAAUCCUUUAUAGAUGCCAGUGUCAUCCUUUUGAAGAUUUGGAAACAGAUUUGGAGAUGUUAGUGACUUGUAGCAACUGGCAGAGCUGCGGUUUGAACCAGUCUUGGUGACACCAGGGACUGUGUACUUCACUUUUGUGCUAUACGACUACCUGGUGUCUGCUAGCAAACACUGAACACGCUCAUCAUCUAGGUUCAAAUCCCAGCUCUGUGUGAACUAGGCAUGUUACUUUUCCUUACUGGACAUUUGUUUCUUCAGCUAUAAAACAGGGCCCACAUCUUCCUUGCUGGUUUGGAGUGAAGAUUACAUUCUGACUGCACAUGUGAAGGUGUCUGGACUUCAAGAGAUUAUCUUUGAAUGUUGAUGGAAGAGGUGAUGCCAGGGCCACGACACACCGGAAGUACUGUUUUUCCCCAGUUUUAGGUGGGAUUGGCCCAGUUAUGCGCAUGUCCUGAAGAGGAGAUGGGCUUUCUCUCCAACUUGUGAGAACUGAUGGACUCAUCCUACCAGAUGUGAACAUUCAGAUGAUAUUCAAACUGGGAAGAAAACCUGUUUUAUCAAGGGAGAAGAAAUUCACUUGGAAAUAUGAAAGAAGGGAACAAAAUCACAUAAAAGUGCAGCAACAAGCAUCUGGCUGAGUACCUGUUAAUGUGCCACAUAGGUAGGGUUCUCAUAGAUUCUCAGUUAAAGCCCAGUAGAGUUCUAUGGCGUGGCCAUUUUAAUUCCUUUUUAAAAAGCAGACUGUGAUGUCACUGUCUGAUAAUAACAUUUGUAUUAGUUACCCAUUGCUGCAUGCAAAGCAACAGAUGCCAUCUAACCUUAGUAACAACAUUUAAGCUGCAAUAGUAACAUUUAUUAUCUUAGUUUCUGUCAGGAAUUAGCUGAGUGGUUCUGGCUGGGAGGCGGCAUUAAAGAUGUAGGCUUGGAGCGACAGACAGUCACAGACAGUUGUCUGAGGGCUUGACGGGGCUGGAGGGCCUGCUUCCAAGAUGGCUCGCCCAGACAACUGGCAAGUUGAUGUCAGGAGGCUUCGGUCUCUUGCUACAUGGACUCUCCAUAGGGCUGGUUGAGUGUUCUUAGAGUGGCAUGGUGGCUGGCUUUUUCUCAGAACAAGUGAUCUGAGAGAGCAAGGUGCAAGCCACAGUGUCUUUUAUGACCUAGCCUUGGAAGUCACACAAUGUCAUUUCUGCAGUAUGCUAUCUAUUGCUUAUGCAGCUCAGCCUUCAAUGUGGGAGGCUGCUGUACAGGACCUAGAGUACCAGGAGGCUGUUACCACAACAUUUUAUCCAUUUUCUGGUUAGUAGAUAGUUUUCCAUUUUUACAAAUAAUGCUGCAGUGAACAUUUCUGCACACAUCUUCUUGUCCAAAUAGGCAGGAGUUUCUACAGGCUUGUGUAUCAUGAACAAAGCCAGCAAGUCUGUGGCUUUUAGCUUCUGUCAAGGUUUCUGGGAAGCAUUAUCCCCUGCCCCCUCACCACUCAGAUCUGAUGUCUCCACAGGCCUGACCCGCAGCCUUAAUUAAGAGGGCAGAUCUCCCUCCUUGCCUUAGAGAUUGAAAAGUCUUAAGAACUGCAACAGGCCCAGUAUGGUGGAUGGCACAGCUGUGGUCUGAGAGGACCACUGUGAGCCGGACAGCACUCCUGCUCCCCUGCGAACUUGUCUCCUGGUAGGGAUUAUGGGUAAAUCAGACGCCAAUUCUGCAACCAACCUGGGCCUUUGAAUCAGCUCAACUCACCCACACGCCACACUCCAGCUCUGGGUGUAACAGCUAGGCCAUCCUGCACCUUUACCUGUGUUGGCUUUUGUGGAGCUCCACCGCCCUACGCCUUCUCCCUGAUGCCCAGGCAGCUCCUGAAGCUUGACCCUCAUGAGCCUGCACCUCUCUCGCUCCUUUCUUGCUGCCCACCCUGAUGUAGGUUUACACUUACCCUUCUCCAUGGGUCAUAGACGCACCCAAAGCCCACAUCCCAACACCCC
rnacentral:lncRNA from 1 species